rnacentral:rRNA from 1 species
UCCGGUUGAUCCUGCCGGACCCCACUGCUAUCGGGGUGGGACUAAGCCAUGCGAGUCUGCGCCCUCCAGCCGACGGGGAGGGUGCGGCGGACGGCUCAGUAACACGUAGCUAACCUACCCUCAGGACGGGAAUAACCCCGGGAAACUGGGGCUAAUUCCCGAUAGGUGAGGAAUCCUGGAAUGGUUCCUCAUUGAAAGGGCGCUGGAACCGUGCUUUCAGCGCUGCCUGAGGAUGGGGCUGCGGCCGAUCAGGUAGUUGGUGGGGUAACGGCCCACCAAGCCUAUAACCGGUACGGGCCGUGAGAGCGGGAGCCCGGAGAUGUGCACUGAGACAAGGGCACAGGCCCUACGGGGCGCAGCAGGCGCGAAAACUCCGCAAUGCGCGCAAGCGUGACGGGGCUACCCCGAGUGCCGCCCGCUGAGGGUGGCUUUUCCCCAGUGUAAGGAGCUGGGGGAAUAAGGGGAGGGCAAGUCGGGUGUCAGCCGCCGCGGUAAUACCCGCUCCCCGAGUGGUGGGGACGAUUAUUGGGCUUAAAGCGUCCGUAGCCCGCCUAAUAAGUCUCCCGUUAAAUCCAACGGCCUAACCGUUGGACUGCGGGGGAUACUGUUAGGCUAGGGGGCGGGAGAGGCCGGCGGUAUUCUCGGGGUAGGGGUGAAAUCCUAUAAUCCCGAGAGGACCACCAGUGGCGAAGGCGGCUGGCCAGAACGCGCCCGACGGUGAGGGACGAAAGCUGGGGGAGCGAUCCGGAUUAGAUACCCGGGUAGUCCCAGCCGUAAACGAUGCGGGCUAGGUGUUGGCGCAACCCAAGAGUUGCGCCAGUGCCGCAGGGAA